rnacentral:rRNA from 1 species
AUGGGCGGGGUCACGUCCACCAUCGCCGCGCGCUUCGCCUUCUUCCCGCCCACGCCGCCCUCCUACACGCUCGUCGCCGACGCGGCCACCGGCCGCCUCCUCAUCCCCGAGAUCUCCCGGCCCCCCGCGCGCCGCCGGAGGCGGGACGGCGGCGGGGACUCCUCCUCAGGUGCCGCCGCAGCAGCCGAGGAGGAGGACGCCACGGAGGUGGUGCGCCUCCGCACGCGCCGCGGGAACGAGAUCGUCGCCGUCUACGUGCGCCACGCGCGGGCCUCCGCCACGCUGCUCUACUCCCACGGCAACGCCGCCGACCUCGGCCAGAUGUACGGCCUCUUCGUCGAGCUCAGCCGCCGCCUCCGCGUCAACAUUUUCGGGUAUGAUUAUGCUGGUUAUGGGAGGUCUACAGGGAAGCCCACUGAGUAUAAUACAUAUGCAGACAUUGAAGCAGCAUAUAACUGCCUCAAGGAAAAAUAUGGUGUGCCAGAUGAGGAUAUAAUUUUGUAUGGACAAUCUGUUGGAAGUGGUCCAACCAUUGAUCUUGCUUCACGGUUGCCAAAUUUGCGAGCUGUGGUUCUUCACAGUCCUAUUUUAUCUGGACUGAGAGUGCUAUAUCCAGUCAAAAAAACUUUUUGGUUUGACAUUUACAAGAAUGUCGACAAAAUCAGCCUGGUGAAUUGUCCAGUUCUUGUCAUUCAUGGCACGUCAGAUGAUGUUGUUGAUUGGUCCCAUGGAAAGCAGCUAUGGGAGCUUUGCAAGGUGAAACAUUCGCCUUUGUGGCUAAGUGGCGGUGGGCACUGCAACCUUGAGCUGUAUCCUGACUACAUCAGGCACUUGAAGAAGUUUGUGUCGAGCCUUGGCAAAAAAUCAACGAAACCUGACUUGAAAGAGUUACCAGCAACAGAAGACACAUCUCGCAAAGACGCAGAAUCUGUGUCCUCGGACAAACCCCAAGAAGCUGCAAAGUGCCGACAGAUCUCGCGGAAGAGCUUAGAUAGUAGAGUUGGGAAAUCCAAAACGGUGGAUGUUCCUGAAAAGCCACGAAUGAGCUCAGAUGACGUUGACAAGUUUAGGAGGAGAAGAUGCUUGGUUUGGUGA